rnacentral:rRNA from 1 species
GUGUCAGCCGCCGCGGUAAUACGUAAGGACCGAGCGUUGUCCGGAAUUAUUGGGCGUAAAGGGCACGUAGGCGGCUAGAAAAGUUAGAAGUCAAAGGCUAUAGCUCAACUAUAGUAAGCUUCUAAACCUAUUUAGCUUGAGAAAUGGAAGGGAAAGUGGAAUUCCUGGUGUAGCGGUGGAAUGCGCAGAUAUUAGGAAGAAUACCGGUGGCGAAGGCGACUUUCUGGCCAUUAUCUGACGCUGAGGUACGAAAGCGUGGGUAGCAAACAGGAUUAGAAACCCGAGUAGUCC